AAAGGUCAAAUGGUGAAAAAUGCCAUAGUCGAUUGCAGGUUGAGUCUCUCCCAUUUCUGAGAGGACUCAUCACACCUAAUUUGAGUAAUUUCCUUUUCAAUUUCCUGGGCCAUUUUAUUUUACCUCUGGCUGCCCCUUGGAUGAGUGAAAGCACUUGAAGCAAUUAGAAGAUUGAAUCAUUACCACUGCUGGGUUGAUAAUCAUUUCUCAGGCUGUCUUUUGGCAAAGAGCAAGCUACAUUUUACAUUGCUUGAGUCACAAUGGUCAGUCUUCUCAAACGGAAGACUUCAAGGAAAAAGAAACUUGGAGUAAGAUGAAAGAAGAAAGAGGAAAGACAAGAAAUCAAGAACUCCAAAGGUCACAAGGCAGGAACAUAAGAAAAGAAAUAAAAUUUUUCUCUUUGUAUUAAAAUUUUUAAUAUUAUAAUGUAAUAAUUAUACUAUAAAUAUCAGGGAACAUCUCUA
rnacentral:lncRNA from 1 species